rnacentral:rRNA from 1 species
CCUACGGGAGGCUGCAGUGAGGAAUAUUGGUCAAUGGACGAGAGUCUGAACCAGCCAAGUAGCGUGAAGGAUGACUGCCCUAUGGGUUGUAAACUUCUUUUAUAUGGGAAUAAAACGUUCCACGUGUGGGAUUUUGUAUGUACCAUAUGAAUAAGGAUCGGCGAACUCCGUGCCAGCAGCCGCGGUAAUACGGAGGAUCCGAGCGUUAUCCGGAUUUAUUGGGUUUAAAGGGAGCGUAGGUGGAUUGUUAAGUGAGUUGUGAAAGUUUGCGGCUCAACCGUAAAAUUGCAGUUGAAACUGGCAGUCUUGAGUACAGUAGAGGUGGGCGGAAUUCGUGGUGUAGCGGUGAAAUGCUUAGAUAUCACGAAGAACUCCGAUUGCGAAGGCAGUUCACUGGACUGCAACUGACACUGAGGCUCGAAAGUGUGGGUAUCAAACAGGAUUAGAUACCCUGGUAGUC